UCACCCCUCAAGCCCGGCUUGUUGUUGGACGUCGGCGGCGGCCUUUUAGUGGCGUACCGCCCGUCUCAAAGAUAAUGACGGCGUCUGUGAGGACACCUGUACACUGAGCUUUCGGGCACGUACUAGGCUGACACUUGCAGACCCGGUCUUUAGGGUUCGCUUCGGCGAGCCCAACUUUUUACCAA
rnacentral:misc_RNA from 1 species